CCUACGGGAGGCAGCAGUGAGGAAUAUUGGUCAAUGGGCGCAAGCCUGAACCAGCCAAGUCGCGUGAAGGAUGACUGCCCUACGGGUUGUAAACUUCUUUUAUAAAGGAAUAAAGUGAGGCACGUGUGCCUUUUUGUAUGUACUUUAUGAAUAAGGAUCGGCUAACUCCGUGCCAGCAGCCGCGGUAAUACGGAGGAUCCGAGCGUUAUCCGGAUUUAUUGGGUUUAAAGGGAGCGUAGAUGGGUUGUUAAGUCAGUGGUGAAAGUUUGAGGCUCAACCGUAAAAUUGCAAUUGAUACUGGCAGCCUUGAGUACAGUUGAGGGAGGCGGAAUGCGUGGUGUAGCGGUGAAAUGCUUAGAUAUCACGAAGAACCCCGAUUGCGAAGGCAGCUUACUAAACUGUCACUGACAUUGAUGCUCGAAAGUGUGGGUAUCAAACAGGAUUAGAUACCCGUGUAGUC
rnacentral:rRNA from 1 species